CUAAAAUUCAACCUAAAAGUUUGGACACACCAGAUGGCAGGUAAGUGUCAAUUUAGGACUGGGGAGCAGACACAGGGGAGAGGCCGCCUGGCCAGUAAAGGAGAGUGAAUUUUGACAGUCUCCCAGGGGUGGAGGAAGGCAGAGAAGCCCCGAAACUGAGCAGUCUGCCCCAGGGCAUCUGUGUGCAGAGGCUGAAGGACAUGCUCAGGCCUGGACAGGAGGCUGCAGCUAUGAGGGGAAGCACAGGACAGUCAACAGAGGUCAGCAUCAGUGGAUUUUGGUGGGAUUCUCUAAUCAAGAAUGCUGGAGUUGGUUGCCAUUCCCUCUCUGGAGAAUCUUCCUAGGGAUUGAACCCAUGUCUCCUACAUUGCAGGCAGGUUCUUUACCAUCUAAACCACUGGGGAAGCCUC
ensembl:lncRNA